UCCGUAGGGGGACCUGCGGAAGGAUCAUUA
rnacentral:rRNA from 1 species